rnacentral:rRNA from 1 species
UGCAGUCGAGCGGUACAGAUCCAGCUUGCUGGAUGCUGACGAGCGGCGGACGGGUGAGUAAUGCAUAGGAAUCUGCCCGAUAGUGGGGGAUAACCUGGGGAAACCCAGGCUAAUACCGCAUACGUCCUACGGGAGAAAGGGGGCUCCGGCUCCCGCUAUGGGAUGAGCCUAUGUCGGAUUAGCUAGUUGGUGAGGUAACGGCUCACCAAGGCCACGAUCCGUAGCUGGUCUGAGAGGAUGAUCAGCCACAUCGGGACUGAGACACGGCCCGAACUCCUACGGGAGGCAGCAGUGGGGAAUAUUGGACAAUGGGGGAAACCCUGAUCCAGCCAUGCCGCGUGUGUGAAGAAGGCCCUCGGGUUGUAAAGCACUUUCACCGA